UUACAUGCCUUGGCUUAUAAGCCAACUCACGCACGCUGGCCUCGGGCCCACCUUACAGAAGUUCAAUCAGACACCAUAUGUAAAGGAAAUACGAAUACGUAAAGUAGGCAAACUGUCUUCAAACAUCAGCCGUGACAUCCUCCCCUCCUAGCGCUCCCUCCCAGAAAGUCAAGCGCCGCGGCUGUUCAUGUUCGGGGUCGACGGCGACGUGUGGUGGGCGCCGCGCCUGCUCCGGCCGUGCACGCGCUCGACGUGGCCGCGCACGCAUUGGUGGCGCCCCCAACGCUUGGAGAAGCGGCGUAGGAACUGGGGAUCGACCCCGCGAGGACGUGGCGCGGGGAAGGGAGGCCUUCCUCUCCCGGGUCCGCGCGCUCACUGCCGUGCUCGGUACCCGCCUCGAUUGGAUCCACCGAAAAGGCCACCACAGGCAAGCUCCCUCCCGGCGAAGGCGGCGCGGCCCCCCUGCGGCACGAGCGCGGCAGCUCCACCACGCAUAGACGCGGCGCGGCCCGGGGGGAAGGCGGUGUGGCCCCCUGCCGCUCCACCACGUGCAGGCACCGGAGGCGCUGGCUUCAUCGGCUCCUGGCUCUCCUCGAGAGAGGCUACACCGUCCACGCCUCCCUCGGGAACACAGGAGACGAGGAGAAGGCGGGGAUGCUGCAGCAGCUGGUCCCCAGCACGACCGAACGGCUGCGGCUAUUCAAUGCCGCCACCUUCGCGUCGGUGAUCGUCGGGUGCCAGUUCGUCUUCCUCCUCGCCGCCCCAUUUGGGGUCCAAGCCACCCGCAACAAGGUUCGACGAAGCAGCAGUCAGCAAUAUAAAUUUGUCAACGCCAGGUAUUAUCCUGUCGAUCUGUAAAAUCGUCAACAAGUGGAUCAGUAAUGCUUCCUCUUGUUUUCCUCAUGCAAUUCACAAUAUAUUUGAUUUCCUUUUUAUUUAGAGAUUAGAGAUUUUAGCUUAGGUUCUGAAUUAUCCUAUGUUUGUAGGCACGACUGUUCUUGUUCUAUGGAAUGGACAAUUCGUGUGAAUUAUAAACAGAUAGUACUAGGUGAUGUAUAUUGUCUUAUUGGUGAGGACGAAAAUACAAGUAUGGUUAUUAU